UACGGGGGGGGUAAGCGUUGUUCGGAAUUACUGGGCGUAAAGGGCUCGUAGGCGGCCAACUAAGUCGGACGUGAAAUCCCUCAGCUUAACUGGGGAACUGCGUCCGAUACUGGAUGGCUUGGAUUUGGGAGAGGGAUGCGAAAUUCCAGGUGUGGCGGUGAAAUGCGUAGAUAUCUGGAGGAACACCGGUGGCGAAGGCGGCAUCCUGGACCAAUAUUGACGCUGAGGAGCGAAAGCCAGGGGAGCAAACGGG
rnacentral:rRNA from 1 species